AGACAUAAAGAGAGAGAGGGAGGUAGAGGUGAGAGCUUAGUGAAGAGAGACAUGGGUCUAAUCUGUGAAUGGGGCCGCGCCCCCUGCACGUGACUCGCCGCUCCUCUUCAAUCAGUCCUCUCCCUGUCUCGGCCCCAAAAAGUCCUUGCGAUCCUUCGUUUUCUCGGUGGGAUAGAGCUCUUCUGGAUGCGUCGGCUCUGAAAGAAAUACGAACUGGCAAGAUCAGAGGUUCAAUUUCCAUUUGUAGUAGGCCUCUGAUGUAAGUUGAUUCCCAUCCGCAGUAUGAAGCUAUACAUCUGUGUUAACUGAUAAUUUGUAAGAGUGCCAACUUGUAAGUGCCUGACAGAGACCAAGUUUCUUGAAAAUUUUUGGCUCUCCACAGAAUUUUAGUUGAUUGGUAAUUUGGAACAUUAGAUGCUUACAGAAUUUUAGGUAAGUUCGCAUUUCUAAAUUCUAAUCUAUAAUUUAAUCUGCAUACAUUAUGUAAAAAUUUUGGUUUUCUUAUUUAUUCUUACUCUCUUUUAAGUAUAUUAUGAUAAGUUUUUUGUUUCUUUUUCUUUAAGUCGUUUGGUAAUUUGGAAUAUUAGAUGCUUAAAUAAGGAUAUAAGAAAUCUUGUAUUUUUUGUCAUGGCUAUGGAAUCGAUGGGCAAUCAAGUUGGACUCUUCUUUUUACUGAAGAAUAUACAGAAAGUCUGCUAUAAUAAUCUAUAGGUGGAUCUCCAAAUCAUGUUGCAUUUCAAAAUGUCACAGAUAGGCUGCAUCUGACAUUUCUUUUAUAUGCUUGCCGGGAACAAGUAAACAAAAUAGACAUUAUCUGUUCUGCCAUCGCCUUUGAUUUGUCUAUAGUUCAAAAUAUCAUUAUAUGCUUUUGGUUUAUUUUGAGUCUUAUGUUUUCUUUUUCUCAUUCCAACCUUUUGGUACUCUUUGUGCAUUGGUUUUACUCUUUGCGCAUUGGUUUUCACUGUAUUUCCUUUCAACUUCUGCACCAAUUUGUGCUUACACCACCUUUUCCUGUGUAUACGAGAGAAUGCAGACGUAAACCCUCUCAUAGAUUCGGAUAGUGGGCAAAAUAGAUAGUUUUUCAUAGCUUCCAACCAUAUCAUUUUCAAUUUUGACCCUCUUGAAAGUGGAUUUAUGAAAUUAUGGCCGAGAUGACAGUGUCACAGGUCGUAAACAGAUGUUAUAGGACACAAGUAUGCAAAGGUAAAGAGCCAUGAGAAUGGGAACAAGGAAAUAUUUUUCUGUGAAUACUUCUAAACUUUUAUGACAUGCCUGUAUGCUUGUGUUUGUAUAUGUAGGCUUUACUGUAAGGUUUACUAGAUUUGAUAUCAGAUCUUAAUCAGGACACAUCUAGAAAUGGGGUUUUACAAGUAGAUAUUAUCUACCUUUGCUAAACCAAGGAUUUAAAUGCCAUGGACAUGACAUUCUGGCCAGUAAGUAGUACAACACGUGUUCUGCUGUGCUGAAACAAAAACAAGGAUUUAGGAGCCCAUUGGCUGUAUCAACCUGUCUGAAUUAGCAUUGGUCUAUAUGGCAAUACCGAGUGGUUUGGCCAAUUGGUACAACAUUUGUUCUGCUGUGCUGAAACAAAAACAAUGACUUAGGUGCCUGUUGGCUGUAUCGAGUUGUUUGGCUGGUCAGUAGGGGUGGACACCUCUGAAUCCCAAGUGAUUUGAUUGGCACCCAAUAUUGACCAAAUGUGGAAUGCUGAUACUGGUCCAGUAGUAUAGACAGAAAAUUGAAAACAUGGUCUGAAUUACUGGAAAGAAAAAAAAAAACAAAGAUCCUAUAUUUUCAAGACCCCUUGUCUCUAUGUCAAGUCAUCUAAAAAUGGAUGGUUCAAAUCAAGGUUUUAAAUACCGAUAUCGGAUCCCAUGCUGGUCGGUACCGUACCAUACCAUACCAAACCAGCCCAUAUCGAUAAUAAAAAAUUCAAAAAAAAUUUCCAUCCAACGGCCAAAAAAAAAAAGAGAAAGAAAAUCAAGAUGUACCGCACCAUGCCGGUGCUGUACCACAUCAUAUCAGCUUGUACCGCACCAUACUGGCCUGUACCGCACUAUAUCAGCCUUACUGCAUGGUUUGAUCUGAUUCAGGUAAUUUUUCAAAAAAUCGGUCCGAACUGAACCGGUUCUCCAUCGAUACGGUAUGAUACGAGGUGUACCGGUCAGUUCGAACCGGUACAGAAUAUCAUGAUUCAAAUAACAUUAGUCUGCUAUAUAGGCAGAGUAUAUGAUAAGGCCAAUUAGCUUUGGCCACAUAUCAAGACAAAUUCAAGGAUGGAAGUUUCAAUGUGAAGAUUUAAACAUCUGUAUAUGAUGUACUAUACCUAAAAUGCUUAAACAUAGAAAAUUAUUUAUUUUGGAGGCCACUUGCAUGUGCAUGAAGUUGUCAGAACUGAAUGAUUUAAAGAGCACAAACAAUCUCUUGUUUGAUGUACGGAUAGAAGGCAUCUGAAACCAUGGAACUUGGUGUGCAUGCGCUUUAACUUUUUGGACCUCUAGAUCAAAUCAAAAUAGGGAGGAAGAGAGGGGUUCAAACAUUGUCGAAUGAGCUAAAGCUCGACAACCUUUAUCUCUAAUGGUAUUGUUAUAAUCUAAUCAGUGAUUAAAAUUAAAUAUGUCAUCAUGUGCCAUGUACUUGCCUUUUUUGGCCGGAUUUGAUGCCUGGUUGAAUAACAAGAAGUCUUAUCCUUUUUCAAGUGCUUGAAAAUAAAAUAAGGAUCUUUACCUCAUUUGGCGGUGCAUGUAUAACUCUUUCUUCCCAUCCUGUUUACAUAUUACCUCUGCCCCUCACUGUUUGUGUGGGAAAACUAAAAGAGGUGCAUGUUGUGUAUACAUGUGCAUCUUUGUGUACACAUGCAUAGCUUUAAUUUUACCACAUCAUAACUAAUUUGGUAGUGCCCCAUGCUCAAACAUUUGGUGGAUCAUCCAAGCCAAUGAUUCCCACAAUUUAAAGAACUCUACAUACUUUAGGGCACAUGGAUUUAAGUAGUUUGUGUGUUUCCCAGUUAUAGAUGAAACAAGUCUUAUAUUCAAUAUUUGAUAAGCUGUGCAUUUAAGUAAAUACCUGAUAAUGGGUAAAAUCUCCAAAACAAAUUUUGUUCAAAUACUUUGAAUGCUUAAGUUCAUGAUGAACAUUGUGAUUCAUUGAUUUGAAUGUCUCACCUCAUAGUUUAAGUGUUUCAAAUGUUGUGCAUCAUGUUUGAAGAUAUUGAUUUAUCAUCUAGAUGUUCCGUUAUUUGCCCUAAUAAAAUCAAACCUUCAAUCUUCAUGGUAAAAUUUUGUCUUUGUCUAUCUACAUGCAUACACAUAUAUAGUAAGCAUACAUAACAUGCCAUAACCAUAACCACUAGGCCUUGUUUCAGUUGUUAAGUGUUGGCUUUAUGAAGAUUCACCUGCCAAUGAUUCCUAGUAUGAGCUACCUUGGUGUUAUUCAAAGUUUUUUCAAAUCUUUGUUAUAACUAUCACCCAUAUUGUCUUAGGUCCUUCCAUCCUUUCUAAUCUCCUUUGAUGCAUUCUAGUAUCUCACCUUACUAGGGCUACAUAAUCUUAUCUCUACAUGCCUGUACCAUCACAAUCAGUUAGUUAUCCAUCACUUUGUCCAUGACUCAUGCGAGUGCUGAAUCAUAUAUACGAAUGCAUACAAUAUCAAGCAUAGAUACAAAAAUAAAAGGUCCAGACCUGGACUCGCAUUGGACUUUGAAAUUCGCAUUGGACUGUUUUGUGGUAGUCUUAGGCAUUUCAUGUGGAUGCAUUGGGUUUUUUCUCAAAGGUGCCAUUUUGCCCUAAGUGUCACUGAUGUGUAAAAUAGGAUAUGAAAUGAAUAGUUAGGUUUCAUCCAAUUUUGCUAUGUGGGUUUGGAAUUGAAGCUAACCAAAAUACUUUGGUUCAUCUCUAACCAAAAUGUAGAUUAUAAAAGUGACAUGUUCAAUUUUCUAAGUUGGAUGAUCUGAAUGAGUGUUUGAUUCGGGUUAGUUUCAGCUAAUUUUCCUAUUGGCCAGAUCUGAAAUUUUUGGUUACAGCCUACAAAAGCAUAACCAAAGCUGAACCUUGCUUCCUGAUCCAACUGGCAUACUCUAAGGGAUUAGGUUUCUGAAGUUUAAUUUCCUUUUGGGUGAUAUAUCUAAAUGAUGCUUAUCUUUAUUAAAAUUUGUUGAGUUCUGUAAAUGUUUUUGGUGGACUAAUGUAUCAUUUGUGGGAUCAUCUUCUUUUCUUGUUUCUGUAGAUCUUACAGUUUUAUUUACCACCUCUAGUUCUAAAAAGGAAAAGAAAUAAAUGAAUCACCCAGAUUGAACCGAACAUGCAUGCUUGCAACUGGUUUUCUCCCUUUAUUCCAUGUGAAUUCCUGGGACAAUUUAGAACUGUUCGAUAGAAUGGUCUAUUAAGUGCAUUAUAGUCCAAACUUAUGCAGAGCACUCUAUAACAUUUAAAUAAACAAAGAUAAAUUGGUUACUUUGUUUUUUUUUUUUUUGGGUCAAUUUGCAUGCUUUUAUGGGAAGGAUUUAAAUCUUGGUAGCAGGCCCCAUCUCAGUUUGCACUUGGGAUGACAGUAUGGUACUGGGACAACAUGGUAGUCGAGAUGGAACAAAACAGUCAGUAACAACAUAAAUAAAAAGGAACAAUUAAAAAAAAAUGUGUCCUGGUCUGUCGCAAUCCUUCCUGAUUACCCUGAUGCAUCUCCAGUGUCGGGACUUAACUAGAGCAUUUGGAUGGACUGGGAUGAUUAGGAUAUCCCAGUUCAAGAGAGAACCAGUGUCCCACACCCAUCCCACCCUUGUUUUUCUAUUGGAGCGGUAAACAGUACCAAGGAUGCCAUCUUGUUUCUGUGGGACCUAAAUCCUUAAUAUAUAAUCUUACUAAUAGUAUUUUAAUCUCACUAGUUCUCUGUGACUUUGUAAAAGAUCUAUGACGUCAAUAGUACUGGUAACUCCUAAGAUCCCAAGAAAAAUCCAUCCAUCUGCCCCUUUUGUUGGAAACUUUAUAUGUAUACCUUGUGCAUACUCAACAACCUUACCUUGCAAAAAUUUAUGUAUCGUUUAAAUAACUUUGCUUAUUAGUAUUUUUUUUUUAAAAAUCUAUCACAUUUCUUUUUUGUCUUUCUUUCAUUGUGCUAAAGUUACUGAAAUUAACCAUCAUGGAUUGGCUGCGUUUUCCAUUUCUUGCCAAACAGCUUUGACUUUUGUUUUGUUUGUUUUUGCUUGUCAGUCCCUCUUUUUUAUUAUGUUUUGCUGAAGUACCGAAGUUAGCGAUGUUGGUUAAUGGAUCUUGUACGCUUUGAUGUCGAGUGUUGAUUGUUGCUUGUUAUAAUUGAUUCCGUACUUACAAUUAGAAUCCGGAAUUUGUUUUAGUUGUAUUUAAAGUUUAACAUAACUCUGUUUUUUUUGUUAAACCAAUCAAGCAGUGGAUUAAAAUUUGAAUUAUUUAGUGACAUCAGGAAGCUAGUUGACCAUGCAAUUGGAGAAAAAAUUAUGAGCUUGAAAUUUUAAACCUUGUGGAAAUGUAGUUAUUUUGAACCUAAAUUUGAAUUCUGCUUCCUAAUAGCUUAAGUGAGGUGACUCUAAAUUUUUGAUUAACUAAUGUUUUUGUCAAUUUUUCUCACUCAUUGAUGCCAGUCUUAUCUUAGAUGAAAUUAGUAGAGGUUUGAUUUUAAAAAUUGUUGGUAAAAUUUUAAAAGAGAAGUCUAACUUAGAAGAAGUCAUAGGCUGCAUUGUUUUUUUAAUAAUUUAGAUGUUGAAAUUUUUAGGUACAUAUUUGUAUAAAAAGAAAAAAGAUACCAAAAGGGAUGAUUUAAUGUGAAAGGGAGCGAAGACUAUGCUUUCUGAAAAUUUUAUUGAAAGUGGACAUGUUCAAUGUCAUGACCGUGGCAUUUUUUUUGUAUUAUUACAAUAUUUUGGCUAGAAAAUAAAACAUGUUAUUCUAAAGAAUUCACAUCAUCAUAAAAUAUCAUGAUUUUGUAAUAUCCAAAAACUUCCUUAAUUAAGUUUCAAUACUUGU